GAUGAACGCUGGCGGCGUGCCUAAUACAUGCAAGUCGAGCGAACAGACGAGGAGCUUGCUCCUCUGACGUUUGCGGCGGACGGGUGAGUAACACGUGGAUAACCUACCUAUAAGACUGGUAUAACUUCGGGAAACCGGAGCUUAUACCGGAUAAUAUAUUGAACCGCAUGGUUCAAUAGUGAAAGACGGUUUUGCUGUCACUUAUAGCUGGAUCCGCGCCGCAUUAGCUAGUUGGUAAGGUAACGGCUUACCACGGCAACGAUGCGUAGCCGACCUGACAGGGUGAUCGGCCACAUGGGAACUGAGACACGGUCCAGACGCCUACGGGAGGCAGCAGUAGGGAAUCUUCCGCAAUGGGCGAAAGCCUGACGGAGCAACGCCGCGUGAGUGAUGAAGGUCUUCGGAUCGUAAAACUCGGUUAUUAGGGAAGAACAAAUGUGUAAGUAACUAUGCACGUCUUGACGGUACCUAAUCAGAAAGCCACGGCUAACUACGUG
rnacentral:rRNA from 1 species